CUCUCUCUCUCUCUCUCUCUCUCUCUCUCUCGCUCUCUCUAUCUACUCGCCGAUGGCCAUGGCAAUAUUGUAACUCUCCAACUACUCUACAUUUGAUGUGACGUCAUGGCUAAUUCUAACGCAUAUGAGUGUGUGAGAGAGAAAGUUAUUGAGGCAAAAUGGGAUAGUCUGUAGUGAAUAGAUUGUUUAGUUAGGCUUUAUUCUUUACUAUUGGCACUGAUUUAAAAGUAACACGUUAACACGAUGUCGGCUGCUCCAGGUUGUGUGCGUAAUGGUGCAUAAUUGUCAGGGUAGAUACAUUGAUUUUGGAACUAGCUUAGACCAGAGUGGGCGCAUAGGGCAAAUGUCUAGUCAUCCUCUGUGACAAAUAUCGAUUUAAUAUGUGACAGCAAGCCUAUUGAAAACCAUAGCCAACAUUUGAAGAAAUCAUGGUUAAUGGGGUUUGGAGUCAAACGCCUAACAUAUUCCCUGUAAGCCUGGUUUUCUUCUUCUCACCAACAGCACCUAUGUGCAGAUAAAUGGAAUAGGAAUACCGGAAGAUAACUGACAAAUAAAUAGGUGUCAAUUAGACACCUACAAAACGAGAAAAAUGGCUGCGAUGCCUACAAUUUCAACAGACCUGUUGAUAAAAUGACCAUGGUGUUUUUUUUGUUAUUACAUGUAAGCUUCAGCCAUUGGCAGUAGGCUACCACGGAGCUAUGGAAAAUAUACAGCACACCAAAACGUUUCUUUGAAUCCAGUAAAUUCCACCGUACCAUGGAGAAAGGUAAACAAUGAGGCGUGAUUUGCUGUUGCCUUUUGCUCCCUGAACCUGAACCUGGUACCUUGGAUAGCGACGCUCGGGAAUCAUUUUACCUCAGUAACGGAAUCGUAAGUGACGCGCCUCGCUAUGCUGUUCACAUUCGGGACGAAUGGCUGGCGAUUCCCUGUCUGGGACCCGACCUACACUAUCCAAUGGUUGGGGUAUGAGGCGCUCAAACGCUACACCAAGAACAUGCAGUGCAACGGGGGCAUGAAGGCGGUGAAAGACAUUCGCUUCCUCGCGAGGAGGUGCAAGGCCAGGGGCUGUUGGACGGUGAUGACACCAUCCAUCAAAGAUGUCCUCUAAUACAAUGACUUUAUCAAAAUUGAUAUCCACGCCCUGUGGUGCCAUCCAGGACAGAUAGAAAUAGCCAGGAGGUUCCGCACCCUACUGGACUCAGACCACCACCCCUCAGAGAUUGCAGAGAGCCAUCGGUUCUGGAGUCCAGGAUGCCUACACUAUACUCCUCAGGUCCACGAUAUUGUCAACAACACAAUAGACUUUGCCCAGAAAUGAUCAAUACAGAGAUCAACAGCGCCUCUGCCAACCCUGUGCCCUUCGCUGUUUCUUGCUAUGGAGCUGCUAGCUGCCUGCCAGGGCAUCAAGUUCUUCCACCCCCUGCUUACCACAACACCAUUGGAGAAGGUCUAUGACCUUGUACGCAGUGUAACCAAAGCCCUGGAUCAAGGAUAGGUUCAUGUCACCAGACAUUGAUGCUGUCCAUCAUCUUCUUCUAGACCAGAAGG